rnacentral:rRNA from 1 species
AUUGAACGCUGGCGGCAGGCCUAACACAUGCAAGUCGAGCGGAGCACCGGACGGGGAAGUGAUGGCUAGGAAUCUGACUGUUAGUGGGGGAUAGCGUUCGGUAACGGGAGCGGAUACCGCUUACUCUCAGCAGAGCCUAGGUCGGGUUAGGUAGUUGGUGGGGUAAGGGCCUACAAAGCCGACGAUCCGUAACUGGUCUGAGAGGAUGAUCAGCCACACUGGAACUGAGACACGGUCCAGACUCCUACGGGUGGCAGCAGUGGGGAAUAUUGGACAAUGGGCGCAAGCCUGAUCCAGCCAUGCCGCGUGUGUGAAGAAGGUCUUCGGAUUGUAAAGCACUUUAAGUUGGGAGGCGUUACCAACAGAAUAAGCACCGGCUAACUCCGUGCCAGCAGCCGCGGUAAUUC